rnacentral:rRNA from 1 species
GGGGGUGCUUGCACCCCGAUUCAGCGGCGGACGGGUGAGUAAUGCCUAGGAAUCUGCCCGAUAGUGGGGGACAACGUUUCGAAAGGAACGCUAAUACCGCAUACGUCCUACGGGAGAAAGUGGGGGCUCUUCGGACCUCACGCUAUCGGAUGAGCCUAGGUCGGAUUAGCUAGUUGGUGGGGUAAAGGCUCACCAAGGCGACGAUCCGUAACUGGUCUGAGAGGAUGAUCAGUCACACUGGAACUGAGACACGGUCCAGACUCCUACGGGAGGCAGCAGUGGGGAAUAUUGGACAAUGGGCGAAAGCCUGAUCCAGCCAUGCCGCGUGUGUGAAGAAGGUCUUCGGAUUGUAAAGCACUUUAAGUCGGGAGGAAGGGCUGCAGGUUAAUACCUUGCAGCCUUGACGUUACCGACAGAAUAAGCACCGGCUAACUUCGUGCCAGCAGCCGCGGUAAUA